rnacentral:rRNA from 1 species
GAUCCUGGCUCAGGAUGAACGCUAGCUACAGGCUUAACACAUGCAAGUCGAGGGGCAGCAUAAUGGAUAGCAAUAUCUAUGGUGGCGACCGGCGCACGGGUGCGUAACGCGUAUGCAACCUACCUUUAACAGGGGGAUAACACUGAGAAAUUGGUACUAAUACCCCAUAAUAUCAUAGAAGGCAUCUUUUAUGGUUGAAAAUUCCGAUGGUUAGAGAUGGGCAUGCGUUGUA